ACAUGCCUACAACAUAGUGUUAAUGAAUCUGAUCCCAUUAGAAGUCUGCAGUCAAGCGUGUUUAGGCUAGAGUAGCACUAGGAUGGGUGACCAUCCAAGAAGUCCUAGUAUUUUACAUGCC
rnacentral:rRNA from 1 species